rnacentral:rRNA from 1 species
UAGGGAAUUUUCCACAAUGGGCGAAAGCCUGAUGGAGCAACGCCGCGUGCAGGAUGAAAGCCUUCGGGUCGUAAACUGCUUUUAUAUGUGAAGAUUAUGACGGUAGCAUAUGAAUAAGGAUCGGCUAACUCCGUGCCAGCAGCCGCGGUCAUACGGAGGAUCCAAGCGUUAUCCGGAAUUACUGGGCGUAAAGAGUUGCGUAGGUGGCAUAGUAAGCGGACAGUGAAAGCGUGUGGCUUAACCACAUAAACAUUGCCUGAACUACUAAGCUAGAGAAUAAGAGAGGUACCUGGAAUUCCCAGUGUAGGAGUGAAAUCCGUAGAUAUUGGGAGGAACACCGAUGGCGUAGGCAGGGUACUGGCUUAUUUCUGACACUAAGGCACGAAAGCGUGGGGAGCGAACAGG